rnacentral:rRNA from 1 species
AACGUAGGACACAAGCGUUAUCCGGAGUUACUGGGCGUAAAGGGCGUGCAGGCGGUUUCUUAAGUCAGGCGUGAAACCAUUCGGCUAAACCGGGUGUAGUCGUCUGAGACUGGGAGACUAGAGUGUGGUAGAGGAGUGUAGAAUUCCGGGUGUAGUGGUGAAAUGCGUAGAUAUCCGGAGGAAUACCAGUGGCGAAGGCGGCACGCUGGGCCAUAACUGACGCUAAGACGCGAAAGCAUGGGUAGCGAACGGG